AGGGGUGUUGUGUUAGAGAAUGGAACUUACCUGCUCAGUUAGGAGGACCUUUUUAGGCACAUGUGUCCUAGAUUUCCGCUUUUGGGUGCAAAGGUCUUUGAGAAAUUUGGCAUAGGAGGGAACUUGUUUGAUGGCAUCAAGGAGUGGAAGGUUGAUUUUAACUUGUUUGAAGACCUCCAUCAUCUCUUCUAAUGAAGUUCCCUUCUUGCCAAAGGGAGAGGGUGCAUUAAGUGCUUCAGGGAAUGAAGCCUUUGGAAUGUGGGUUGUGGCAGAUGGUGGACUAGCUGAAGAAGGUUUUGGGUUUUCAUGUGAUACAUUCCUCUCCUCUUCUUCACCUUCCUUAUUGUUACCCUCCCUAACCUUAUUAUCUAUUAUACGUCCACUCCUUAGGGUAGUCAAAGCAUUGGCUUGCUCAUGAUUUAGUCGAGUUUCUUGAGCCACGUAUUGUCCCUUAGAUUACUCAUUGGUUGACUUGGAAGCUUACCUUCCUCUCGCUUGUUUAAUGCAUUGGCUAGUUGACCCAUUUGGGAUUCUAGCUUAGCAAUUGAUCGCGUGUGAGAGUGCAAUAGUUGUGUGUUUGCCUCCAAACCUUGAAGGGCAGUCAACACUUUCUCCUCAA
rnacentral:lncRNA from 1 species